CUUUGAUCAUUAGGUAAAUGAUGU
rnacentral:miRNA from 1 species